GGUUUGAUUCUGGCUCAGAUUGAACGCUGAAAGUGGAAUGUUUACACAUGCAAGUCGAACGGCAGCACGGGACUUCGGUCUGGUGGCGAGUGGCGAACGGUGAUAUCAUCGAACGUGCCUAGUAGCGUGAUAAUCAUGCGAGCGUAGCCAAUGCACGCAAGGUACUUCUCUUCGGGGGAAGCGGGGACCUGUCUUCUGGCCUUCGCACUAUUAGGGAGGCGUCGAUAUCGGAUUAGCUAGUUGGUGGGGUAACGGCUCACCAAGGCGACGAUCCGUGGCCAAGUUUGAGAGGACGACCAGCCGGCACCGGAUAUUGAGACACGGCCCAGACUGUUUGAGGCAGUGCAGUGGGGAAUUUUGGACAAUGGGGAAACCCCUGAUCCGUUUUUCAUCCGCGUAGCAUGCCUCCCGGGUUGUAAGCACUUUCGGCAGGAAGAAACGGCACGGAUAAUACCCCGUGCAAACUGACGUUCCCGUAGUCAGCACCCGGCUAACUACGUGCCACAGCAGCCGCGGUAAUAUUUGUGGGUGCAAGUGUUAAUCGGGCGUAAAGCGUGCGCAGGCGGUUCGGAAAGAAAGAUGUGAAAUCCCCCAGAGCUUAACUUGGAACUGCAUUUUUAACUACCGAGCUAGAGUGUGUCAGGGAGGGAGGUGGAAACGGCGUGGGCAGCGAAAUGCGAUAUGCGGAGGAACACCGAUGGCGGAAGGCAGCUCCAGGGAUGCACACUGGACGCUGCUCAUGCACGAAAGCGUGGGGAGCAACAGGAUUAGAUACCCUGGUAGUCCACGCCCCAAAACGAUGUCAACUAUUGUUAGCCUUCGGGCCUGGUAGCGCAGCUAACGCGUGAAGUUGACCGCCUGGGGAGUACGUCAAAGAUUAAAACUCAAAGGAAUUGAGUCAGACCCGCACAAGCGGUGAUGAUGUGGAUUAAUUCGAUGCAACGCGAAAACCUACUCAAUUUUUGACAUGUCUGAACUCGAAGAGAUUUGGAGUGUCGCUGCAAGAGAACCGGAACACAGGUGCUGCAUGGCUGCUGUCGCUCGUGUCGUGAGAUGUUGGGUUAAGUCCCGGCAACGAGCGCAACCCUUGUCAUUAGUUGCGCUACGAAAGGGCACUCUAAUGAGACUGCCGGUGACAAACCGGAGGAAGGUGGGGAUGACGUCAAGUCCUCAUGGCCCUUAUGGGUAGGGCUUCACACGUCAUACAAUGGUCGGGACAGAGGGUCGCCAACCCGCGAGGGGGAGCCAAUCCCAGAAACCCGAUCGUAGUCCGGAUCGCAGUCUGCAACUCGAUCUGCGUGAAGUCGGAAUCGCUAGUAAUCGCGGAUUUCAUGUCGCGGUGAAUACGUUCCCGGGUCUUGUACACACCGCCCGUCACACCAUGGGAGUGGGCUUUACCAGAAGUAGUUAGCCUAGCCGUAAGGAGGGCGAUUACCACGGUAGGAUUCAUGACUGGGGUGAAGUCGUAACAAGGUAA
rnacentral:rRNA from 1 species